rnacentral:lncRNA from 10 species
AAAAUCAUCUCUGACGGUGUUGAGGAAAGGUGAGCAGGGGACUGGCCACCCUAUAUUAGGAGAACCCUGUCAGGAAUUAUGAUUCUCAUUGUGUAGUUGGGGAAGCUGAGACAUGGAAGGCUGAGCUGUCUGACGUGACGCAGCUGGGGAGUGGCCGAGCUGGAAAUGGAGCCCAGGUCUGUCUGACUCUGGAGUCUGUGCCUUUGACUGAUGCAGAAAUUCAGAACAUCCGUGCUGAGGCGUAGCAGGGGUCCAGCAUACACGGGGGCUCAAGUGCAUAAAAAACCCUCUCUUUGUUUUGAGAUGCAAGUUCGUCAGGACCUCCAAAACAUUGCCUCCCAUCUUCCCCUCCUCCAAACUGUUCGGCGAUCCCCUUGGUUUGUUCAGCCUCCCCAGAGUCAUCAAAACAUUGACACCGCUUCCCUAUUAUUCAUCAAAAAUGCACCCUGUCACACCAGCAAGCCAGGGGUUAAGGCAUCUCAAGGUGAGGGUGGAGGAGACUGAGUUCAGCAGAGGGUGAGUGGCCCUGUGGGAGCCGUGCCCGGACAUGACAGAGGUGGGAUUCCAAAUAUGAAAAACACCUUCCUCCUGCCCCAGGCCCCUUUCUUAUGAGAAUCCAACAGGCAGCCAGUGGUCUCCAGCAUGGGGAUUCCUGGACCACGUCAUGUGGUAGGUGACCCCUGAAGGCUCACUGCACCUGCUGUAUCUAUUGGACAUGUGUGUGUGUGUUUGAGUUGAAGACUAUGUAUAGGAAUUCAAUUCAGCAGACAUGUGGAUGCUUACCACAUGCACUGCCUCCACUUGCUUUUGCCUGUGUGCACCUGCUCAUGCAACAUCUUCAUGGCAAACCCAGGGGCACAUGCACUGGGGUAGUGCAGGAUCCAACGGUGCCAUCUGCACCCAGCAGACUUUCCAGGAGAGAAGAUUGACUGAGCACUCAGCCAUCAAUGUCAGCCUGUAGUGGAAGGCUCUAGGGCAAAAUUCUUUUAUGGGCAUCGCAGAACAAGUCUUCAUUGAACACUGUGAACCAGACAAGUGGGAAGGUGGAUGAAGAGCUAAUUCACUGAAACAAGAUGAGAUGCCCGAGAAUGUUCCCUCCCCAACUCAGAAUCCUUUGCAAAACCACCAGGAUCUUGGACAAAGAG